rnacentral:rRNA from 1 species
AGUGAACGCUGGCGGUAGGCCUAACACAUGCAAGUCGAACGGCAGCACAGUAAGAGCUUGCUCUUACGGGUGGCGAGUGGCGGACGGGUGAGGAAUACAUCGGAAUCUACUUUUUCGUGGGGGAUAACGUAGGGAAACUUACGCUAAUACCGCAUACGACCUACGGGUGAAAGCAGGGGAUCUUCGGACCUUGCGCGAUUGAAUGAGCCGAUGUCGGAUUAGCUAGUUGGCGGGGUAAAGGCCCACCAAGGCGACGAUCCGUAGCUGGUCUGAGAGGAUGAUCGGCCACCCUGGAACUGAGACACGGUCCAGACUCCUACGGGAGGCAGCAGUGGGGAAUAUUGGACAAUGGGCGCAAGCCUGGUCCAGCCAUACCGCGUGGGUGAAGAAGGCCUUCGGGUUGUAAAGCCCUUUUGUUGGGAAAGAAAAGCAGCAGGUUAAUACCCCGCUGUUCUGACGGUACCCAAUGAAUAAGCACCGGCUAACUUCGUG